rnacentral:lncRNA from 1 species
AUUCCGACACAGAAACGCAAACUUCUUCCAAAGGCUGUUGAUGACUUAGAAGAUCACCGCCCCGACACUCUGUGUGCUGACUUCGCUCCUGGGUCUCGGAAGAAAGCUCACAAAUCGGCCGACACACACACGUUCCUUUCACCCAUCUGCCCCACUGAACAGAAGAGCCGUCAGGUCCCCUUGGCCAACGGCCACAGUGCCCUUCUGGGUCAGGGGGACUCGGCCGUUGCAGCAUCCCUGGGCUCACGGUCAGUUCCCCAUUCGGCAAAACAUCAACAUCACGGCUGGGAGACGGAAAACGAACGUCCGCACAAACACAAUGAUCCUAAGACCCGUCGGGUCGAGACCCGAAGCACAGUGCUGCCCGCGACGCGGCUAAGGACCCCUCCGGCCGGAUCGCAGCAACGUCCUGGACGCAUCCCUCACGGAAGUGAGGACACACGACGUGCGUGGUGCAGUCAGCUUCACAAGGAAACCCCAGGCAGGAGUUACAGAAGUGCAGCCACAAGAACAGGGAACUUCUGUACUAACAAGACAGUUGGGGCCACAGCCACUGUCAGACAAUUCCUGUGACCACAUUGACAGCAGAGCCCAGGACGGCAGGACUUUGGAGAGGGUGCCCAGUCCAAAAGCUCCAUCCCAAAGGAAGAUGAUGAAUGGGGCAGAUCCCACUCUGAGGUAUGUGAAAUGGGAAUCUCACAAGGACUUGGGCACUGAGGAGGGGGAGAUCUGGAGUUUAAUGGGGAGAAAAGGGGGCUGCAAGGGGAUCAUGUGGCAUGAGAAAGUGUCAUCAGGAGUCAGGUGGAAUGGACCAGGAGCUGACCUCUGACAACAAUCCCAGACUCUAGGCACUGCACUGUCUGUGGGUGACAGACACAAGGAUGCUCAAGAGGCCCUGCUCUCCCCUGCCUUCUAUCCUCCACUUGUUUACCUCACAACCAGCGGACCUUUGCUCCCACACCAUUCCUCUCUUUGCUUUGCCUCUAGCUAAGGGGCUUUUUCGCUCCCAUUCUGAGACCUGGCCCUUUGCAGAGCUUUAUUGUGCAGAAUAUUAAAUACAUUCUGUGGUCUUGCCACCCCUCACUCUGUCCCUUUUGUUGUCCUGGUUCAGACUCAGUCUGGGCAAACUCACUGCCCUUUGCGCCU